UGGGGAAUAUUGCACAAUGGGCGCAAGCCUGAUGCAGCCAUGCCGCGUGUAUGAAGAAGGCCUUCGGGUUGUAAAGUACUUUCGGCGAGGAGGAAGGGGGGAUGGUUAAUAACCAUUUUCAUUGACGUUACUCGCAGAAGAAGCACCGGCUAACUCCGUGCCAGCAGCCGCGGUAAUACGGAGGGUGCAAGCGUUAAUCGGAAUUACUGGGCGUAAAGCGCACGCAGGCGGUCUGUCAAGUCGGAUGUGAAAUCCCCGGGCUCAACCUGGGAACUGCAUUCGAAACUGGCAGGCUAGAGUCUUGUAGAGGGGGGGUAGAAUUCCAGGUGUAGCGGUGAAAUGCGUAGAGAUCUGGAGGAAUACCGGUUGGCGAAGGCGGCCCCCUGGACAAAGACUGACGCUCAGGUGCGAAAGCGUGGGGAGCAAACA
rnacentral:rRNA from 1 species